AGCUUGGUGACCAAGGAUAUCAUCCUGGACUUUAGGUGGAACAGAACUGAUCCUGCACCCCUGUACAUCAACAGUGAAUGGUUAGAGACAGUACAGUCCAUCAAGUUCCUCGGCGUCCACAUCUCUGCAGACCUCUCCUGGUCUGAGAACACCACAGCACUGGUCAAUAAAGCACAGCAGUGGCUACACUUCCUGAGGGCGCACAGGAAGGAACAUCUGAACACAUAGUGGCUGGUGACCUUUUACCACUCCACAAUUGAGAGCCUGCUGACCAAUGCUGUCACUGAGGCUGACAGGAAGAGGCUGCAGAGGGCGUCUGUCCUGUGAGCCUGAUAGGUAGGGAACCACUGCAUUAAGGGAUGGUGAAUAAUAAAUAAACCACUCUCUCUUAUGAACACUGACAUUAUUAUGGAUGUGAAUCCAUUAACAUGGACUCCUGUUACCUGUGGUCAUCUGUAAAACAGCUUGUUAUCCGACCUCUACUUAGAUUUCUGUAAAGUGUUGGUCUGAGUUGUGCUUUCUUUUGUUCUGUUGUGUUUUUCAUUCAUUAAUAAAAACUGUAAAAACAGAAAAAUGAGACCAUCAGGACAAACACAGCAGCAGAUCUUCACCAGAAUGAUGGUGCUGACAUGGUCCACACCUCAACCUUCUCCAGAAACACUCCAGAAUGUUUUAGACCAUCUGUACCAACAGGUAAGAUAGACAGCUGUCAGGUGACCAAUAAUCAACCUGAGCUGCUUUGAUGAUGACCAUCUUCCACCAUCUGAAGUCAUUUUAAGCUUCUAGUAAACAACCAAAUGCUUUUACUUCAAACGUCACAGUUAACCUCUGAUCAUGUGACUAACGAUGGAAACAUUAGCUGCUGUUUACUUUGUGUUUUAGAUAAAACAGCAUUCAUAUUUCCAGCUUGGCUGAAUCAACAUCAGACUCAUCUGUUAUUAAGCCGUUACCAUGGUGAAUCACCGUUUAAAAGGAUCAGCUGUUGCCAUGGUGAAUCUAAGUUUAAAAUGAUCAGCCGCUGCCAUGGUGAAUCAGAGUUUUGGAACUUUUUUAUUUCCCACGCAGGCCUGGAACACAGACCACUAUCAGUAGAAGCUGAAAACCUGAACCAGCUCACAUCUCAUGGGCUGGAUGGACUCCAGGUCAGUCAGGUCAACUC